rfam:Zea mays cultivar B73 chromosome 5, whole genome shotgun sequence.
CUAGCCACGGGAUAUUGGCGCGGUUCAAUCAGAAAGCUUGCGCUCCAGGCCCGAGGGGCUCCACUCUUUGAUUGAGCCGUGCCAAUAUCACGUCCCGGCCA